rnacentral:lncRNA from 1 species
AGAGGAGGCAGCAAGCCGGUUCCUCUUGUGAAGGGGCAGCGGUGUACGCCCGGACUGUCUCCGCCGGCUCCUGCGGCCUGACCUCGGCUUUGCAGGAGGGCAACGCAGCAGAAUUUGGCAGCCACCUGAUCUGCAUGUGCAAUUAACCCGUUUCUCCACUAUAGGGCACUGACAGACUGCGCGAGAGAAACCGGAUCACCGGAGCAGCCCUGUCGGUACAAGCAAGCCCAUGUGCUAGAGCAGAGGAUCCCAAGCGAUGGGUGGGACAUGAACCACUUCAAAGGGGUAAGAAGCAGCAACACCCUCUUUGCAAAGGCACUGAUCUGAGCCGUGGAUCACCCUCUCCCAUGCCGGCCAGUACCAGCACCACCAGCAUCCUCAGCUGCAGGCUAUUGCAGAGCUGGAGGCUUUUGCUGCUGGAACAUUUUUGCUGGCCCCCAUCCAUGCACCUGCUAAGAUGCAGCUCCGGUGCCAAGAGCGUGCGCUCGGGUAGCUGAGGUGUACCAGGGAAGUGUCACCUCCACAUGCACGCGGGGAACAUGGCACAGAAAAAUUGACUUGAUUUGCCCCAGGACCCCUAAAAUGUAUGGCAGAAGCAAGAUUUGCACAGGCUUCCCUGAAGGCUUGAUAACUACAGAUUAGUAACUUCUUCACCAACCGGAGCGGGAGCUGCUGUGUGACAUUUCAAGGUCCUGCUACGAGCUGAGCCGCAGCAUCUCUGCACUGCCGCACACACAGAGCUCGCGGCAGGAUUAGUCCAAAGUGUGGUGGGUCGACUGCAGCACGUGCUCCCUGAGGCCCGGCCACU